UUUCAGGUUCAUGUUUAGAUAUGGUUUUGAAGGAAUAUGAACUAGAACAUUUAGAUUGCAUUGACAUAUGUGUGCCCUCGUGUUCUGAAAUAGUAUUUACAACAGAUAUUUCAACUGGUACAUGGCCCUCUAAACCCCUCAUUACGAGAACUGUUAAUAAAGUGAAAAACGUGUAUAAAAAGAAGAACAUAACUACGGACAUAUUUGACGAAUUGGAGGACACUGGAGAUAUGUUGAAGUUCCUUCGGAGAAAUGUGUUGAAAGUAGAGAUGUUUUAUAAGCAGUUGAACUAUGAACGUAUAACAGCAACACCAGCAUAUGAUUGGAGCAGCUUACUAUCAGACUUGGGUGGACAGGCUGGACUGUGGGUUGGUUUCUCCAU